ensembl:lncRNA
CAUGUUCACAGUGAGGUCCUAUGAGCAAGCUUUACAGUACAGGCUUCCUGACACUCCCUCUAACACUGUCACUAUCCACCACCCUGAAGGAAACAUGCUACUACAACAGCCAAUCUCCUUUCACCUCAGAGCUUCCUCCAGGAGACACUCAUAUCACAUCAUCAUCGUCUUCCUCAGCAUAUUCAUCAUCUUCAUCAUAUCCUUUUCUUCAUCAUGAUGUUCAGAGUUCUGAUUCACCUGGCAGCUCUACCACUCUGGGUGACAGGGCAGUUGUUUAGUAGCAUGGUUCAUCAGAGGCCUGUGGCACUAACAGAAGGUCCUGGAGGAGACGUUCAACUCACCUGCAGCCAUACGAUCCCUAACUACUACGUGAUACUAUGGUACAAACAGUCAGCAGGAGACACUGCUAUGAAACUCAUUGGUUAUGCAUAUACCAAGUCAAUAACCAUGGAGAAAUCAUUUGAAAAGCACUUUAAUGUGAGUGGAGACGGUGGGAAAGAGGCUUAUCUUCAUCUAGUGAGUCUGAGAGGACCUGAACACAGUGCAGUUUAUUACUGUGCAGCCAGCCAACACAGUGAUGUAGACUUCCUCCUGCUCUCUACUAAAACCCUGUCUGAUGGUAAUAUUAGACCACGGCUCAGAACACCUGCAUCUGAGGUUUGA